rnacentral:lncRNA from 1 species
GCCACCCCUGAGACAGCAAGACCAACAACCCCUUCUCUUCCUCUUCAGCCUACUCAGUGUGAAGAUGAUUGCUGCCCUCAGCUGUGCCUGGAGCACAGGGCACCUCCAGUUCGGCCUCUCCAGAAGUAAACUUGUCUUCUGCCUAUCUUGUGUUUGUUGGGAGGAGGUGACCUGGGACUCUACUACUAUUGAUGAAGAAUCCGAAAAAGUCUUCUAUUAGCCCUGUGCCACACCCUACCUAUGAGAAAUCAGUGUUUACUGCAGAGAACACAGAAGCCAGCAAGCAGCAGGGAAGGGAGGCGAACCAAUGCAGCAGCCCACCGGGACCGAGGAGGACACACGCAGAGCAAGUCACAGGAAGCGCAGCUGAAAACAAAUGGACGCUUAUCCCAAAUGCACAGGACACUUACCAAGAACUGAUGGUCCGUCAAAGUAAAGCUCAACAGCUUUGGCUGGCAGGACAGUCAAACUUUUGGACGACAGAAAGUAACAGUGGGAAAUGGGACAACAUCUGCCAGCAACGCGAGAGGCCAAGACCAUGGCUGCUACAGGAGGGGUCAGCGUCACAGUACACGCAUGGCGGCGGUUGCACAUGCAUGCCUGGGGAAUGCUUCUCCAUCAUUCUCUGUUCCUUGGAAGCGUGAGGGCUAAGGAGCUGCUGACUUCUCUCUCUUGGCCCCACUUCAAGAAAGGCUUGCUUCCCACACACCUCUCCACGCUCCCAGUGCGGGACUGACACUCUGCACCGGGAGGCCAAGGGCCACCAUCGUCUUGCUGGGAGAAGGUGUGACGUUUCUUGGUCAUAGGAGGGAGUGUGAUCUGACACCAGAGGACUUAAUAUAACAUUGCAGUGUUAACAUCUUCACUGGCAGAUUCAUGGACUUUCCCCCUCCUGAAUGCAUUUCAACACCUUGAAAUGAACGAUGCCUCAUGUCUCUGCAGGGUGGACAUAGCUCUAACUCUCUGAAGCUGAGUUGGACAGGUGAAACAUCCACAGUCUUUCUUGACCUGAAUCAAGCUCAGAGUGACAGUGUUUAAGAUUAUAUGUCAAGUUCUGUGUGAAAUGAGAGACCAUGGGGAUUCAUUAUUGCUGGAGUUGACGGUAUUGCAGUUUUAUAACCAUCUAAUAAAUUAGCAUUUAAUACUGAGAGAUUUCAUCUUAAACUCAGAGGAUUGCUUUGUUUUAAAGAAGAUUUUUGCAAGGAGAAGCAAUGGAAACCAUUCAGAAAAUGUGGGAGAUAAAAAUCCUAUUCAAGAAAACGGAUCUUGGAUCUUUGCAUUCACUUGAUUUGUCAGAAUAUUAUUCUGUGCUAAAAAAUAGAAGGGAUUAAAUGUUAAAAAUCA